rnacentral:lncRNA from 1 species
AAGGACUUCUUUCAGGGGUGAGUUCUAUGCCUCAUCACCUUGCAUUUCUUCUUCUUUUCUCCCUUUCCCCCUCACUCUAGAUGUACUGAUGAAGUCUGCAUUCUGGAGAAAAUGAGCAAAGCGAAAUGAAGCAGAGAUGAAGCUCAGUCCUGACCCAUGGAAUGCAGAGGAAGCCUCGGGAAUCGAGCUGGCCAGGAUGUCAGAAGCCAGCCUGCGACGUCCAGAGAAUCCACAGCCCAGGGAGCUCUAACAGACACACCUGCCGCAGACAGGUCAGCAGGGAACUGGACUGCAGGGGUUGGGGAGAAGGCGAAAGAGGGAUGGGGGUGGAGAGGAGGAAGGGAGAGUC